rnacentral:rRNA from 1 species
GACGAACGCUGGCGGCGUGCCUAAUACAUGCAAGUAGAACGAGUGGCGGACGGGUGAGUAAUGUCUGGGAAACUGCCUGAUGGAGGGGGAUACCUACUGGAAACGGUAGCUAAUACCGCAUAACAUCAGAUGUGCCAAGAUGGGAUUAGCUAGUGGGGGGGGUAAGGCCUCACCAAGGCGACGAUCACUAGCUGGUCUGAGGGGAGGACCAGACACACUGGAACUGAGACACGGUCCAGAAUCCGACGGGAGGCAGCAGUGGGGAAUAUUGCACAAUGGGCGCAAGACUGAUGCAGCCAUGCGGCGUGGAUGAAGAAGGCCUUCGGGUUGUAAAGUACUUUCAGCGGGGAGGCGUUACCCGCAGAAGAAGCACCGGCUAACUCCGUGCCAGCCGCCGCGGUAAUUC